rnacentral:rRNA from 1 species
UACGGAGGGAGCUAGCGUUAAUCGGAAUUACUGGGCGUAAAGCGUGCGCAGGCGGUGAUGUAAGACAGAUGUGAAAUCCCCGGGCUCAACCUGGGAACUGCAUUUGUGACUGCAUCGCUGGAGUACGGCAGAGGGGGAUGGAAUUCCGCGUGUAGCAGUGAAAUGCGUAGAUAUGCGGAGGAACACCGAUGGCGAAGGCAAUCCCCUGGGCCUGUACUGACGCUCAUGCACGAAAGCGUGGGGAGCAAACAGG